rnacentral:rRNA from 1 species
CCUACGGGAGGCAGCAGUAGGGAAUCUUCCACAAUGGGCGAAAGCCUGAUGGAGCAACGCCGCGUGGGUGAAGAAGGUCUUCUGAUCGUAAAACCCUGUUGUUAGAGAAGAAAGUGCGUGAGAGUAACUGUUCACGUUUCGACGGUAUCUAACCAGAAAGCCACGGCUAACUACGUGCCAGCAGCCGCGGUAAUACGUAGGUGGCAAGCGUUAUCCGGAUUUAUUGGGCGUAAAGGGAACGCAGGCGGUCUUUUAAGUCUGAUGUGAAAGCCUUCGGCUUAACCGGAGUAGUGCAUUGGAAACUGGGAGACGUGAGUGCAGAAGAGGAGAGUGGAACUCGAUGUGUAGCGGUGAAAUGCGUAGAUAUAUGGAAGAACACCAGUGGCGAAAGCGGCUCUCUGGUCUGUAACUGACGCUGAGGUUCGAAAGCGUGGGUAGCAAACAGGAUUAGAUACCCUGGUAGUC